rnacentral:tRNA from 1 species
UAAAAUAAAGCGAUAAUAAUUGCGUUCAGUUUCGGCCUGAGUUUAGAGAUUUCUAUUUUUUAA